UACGUAGGUGACAAGCGUUGUCCGGAUUUACUGGGCGUUAAAGAGCGCGCAGGCGGUCGUUCAAGUCGAGUGUGAAAGCCCCCGGCUCAACUGGGGAGGGUCAUUCGAUACUGAUCGACUCGAAGGCAGGAGAGGGUAGUGGAAUUCCCGGUGUAGUGGUGAAAUGCGUAGAUAUCGGGAGGAACACCAGUGGCGAAGGCGACUACCUGGCCUGUUCUUGACGCUGAGGCGCGAAAGCUAGGGGAGCAAACGGG
rnacentral:rRNA from 1 species